rnacentral:rRNA from 1 species
GGGUUGUGAGGUUAAGCGACUAAGCGUACACGGUGGAUGCCCUGGCAGUCAGAGGCGAUGAAGGACGUGCUAAUCUGCGAUAAGCGUCGGUAAGGUGAUAUGAACCGUUAUAACCGGCGAUUUCCGAAUGGGGAAACCCAGUGUGUUUCGACACACUAUCAUUAACUGAAUCCAUAGGUUAAUGAGGCGAACCGGGGGAACUGAAACAUCUAAGUACCCCGAGGAAAAGAAAUCAACCGAGAUUCCCCCAGUAGCGGCGAGCGAACGGGGAGGAGCCCAGAGCCUGAAUCAGUGUGUGUGUUAGUGGAAGCGUCUGGAAAGGCGCGCGAUACAGGGUGACAGCCCCGUACACAAAAAUGCACAUGCUGUGAGCUCGAUGAGUAGGGCGGGACACGUGGUAUCCUGUCUGAAUAUGGGGGGACCAUCCUCCAAGGCUAAAUACUCCUGACUGACCGAUAGUGAACCAGUACCGUGAGGGAAAGGCGAAAAGAACCCCGGCGAGGGGAGUGAAAAAGAACCUGAAACCGUGUACGUACAAGCAGUGGGAGCAUGCUUAGGCGUGUGACUGCGUACCUUUUGUAUAAUGGGUCAGCGACUUAUAUUCUGUAGCAAGGUUAACCGAAUAGGGGAGCCGAAGGGAAACCGAGUCUUAACUGGGCGUUAAGUUGCAGGGUAUAGACCCGAAACCCGGUGAUCUAGCCAUGGGCAGGUUGAAGGUUGGGUAACACUAACUGGAGGACCGAACCGACUAAUGUUGAAAAAUUAGCGGAUGACUUGUGGCUGGGGGUGAAAGGCCAAUCAAACCGGGAGAUAGCUGGUUCUCCCCGAAAGCUAUUUAGGUAGCGCCUCGUGAACUCAUCUCCGGGGGUAGAGCACUGUUUCGGCAAGGGGGUCAUCCCGACUUACCAACCCGAUGCAAACUGCGAAUACCGGAGAAUGUUAUCACGGGAGACACACGGCGGGUGCUAACGUCCGUCGUGAAGAGGGAAACAACCCAGACCGCCAGCUAAGGUCCCAAAGUCAUGGUUAAGUGGGAAACGAUGUGGGAAGGCCCAGACAGCCAGGAUGUUGGCUUAGAAGCAGCCAUCAUUUAAAGAAAGCGUAAUAGCUCACUGGUCGAGUCGGCCUGCGCGGAAGAUGUAACGGGGCUAAACCAUGCACCGAAGCUGCGGCAGC